CACAGAUGCCCAGACCAUGGUCUCUCAUGGAUGGAUGCCUUUUUUCUCCAUCAACAGCAAGAGACAAAAACAAGAGGCACCAAGUGAAUGACAGAGCCAUCCUCACCCAGUGGCCCAGGAGCCUUAGUGCCUGGCCCUUGCAUGAGCUUCAUUGCGAUUAUGCCGUGCCUGGCCUUGUUGACUUGACUUUCUUGCUUGCCCUUGAACAUUUUCUUGUCACAGGAAACAUGCCUGGUGGCAACUGGGGGCUGGACUAGGGACUACCACUUGAUCUGCUCUGCUUGCCUUGUUUUGGCAGUGGGGGGACUGCACCCUUGCUUGAGGGGCUGUUGUCAUUCCCUGUCUCCAGGGAGCUGUCCCAUUACACAAUUUAGUGCAAUGAUCAAACACCAAGUAAUUAUGUAAGUGAAUAAUCAAAUAUUUUCCUUCCUAAACCUUUCUUAGCUCCAUAGAAAUGAAUAAGAAGUAUACUGACCCACUGCUGUGAAUAUUGGUUACCGAGGUAUGCGAUAUACAGGCUGGUGCAUGGGUCUGCUGGUGAAUCUGUGGAAAAAAUCGGCCUCAACAACAAAAAAUAAAGAGAGAUCAGGAGGUGAAGAACAUCAGGAAGGCCCUGGAUCUUGUUCAGUUUCUGCUCAAGUUAUUAGAAAAAUUCCUGCUAACUCAGGCAGCAGAGGAACAAAACCUAGGAGAAACUUCAGCAGCUUUUUUGUGGGUUCUGUAGGGUGCCCUGGGUCAGGUGGUGGGAUGGGGUAAGAAAGAUGCUGCCUCUUACCAGCCUUGCUCCGUGACAGGCACUCCUUAUAGGAACGCCAAGAAUUUUGAAGUCAUCGAAUGAAUAAUUUAUAGGAAAUCAUUUGCUGUGCCUAGUCAUUCCCUAAAAUGCUCAAAUGCAUGUCUCUAAUGGGCUUAUAAAGUUGUGAUGAGGACAGCCAUUGGAAAAAGUCAUCAGUGUAUAAAAGGGUAGAUGAUUUGAGCUGGCUGAAGACUGAGUUGCAAGAUUCUUUUGAGGAAUAUUUCUACAGAAGAAUACCCUAUUUCCUUGCACUUAAUAUUGGGAAUAAGAAUCCCCGGGAGGUAAAAACCCCUCCUCUCUAAUUUCUUUGUUUCAGUUCCCUUCACUCCCCACAUUCUGUUUGCCAUAAAAGAAGAAAAAGGGGUGUGAAAUAAAAUAAAAUAAAAAUAA